AGGUAGAGUUGGUGUAGGAGUAGGUGUAGGGGUAGGGGUAGCUGAUGUUGUAGGUUCUGGUGUUGUUGUAGUAGACUUUGUUGUAGUUGUCGGUGUUGGGGUAAAUGAUGUGGUAGGUUCUGGUGUUGUUGUAGUAGACAUUGUAGUAGUUGUCGGUGCAGGAGUAGAUGAUGUGGUAGGUUCUGGUGUUGUUGUAGUAGACAUUGUAGUAGUUGUCGGUGCAGGAGUAGAUGAUGUGGUAGGUUCUGGUGUUGUUGUAGUAGACUUCGUCGUAGUUGUUGUCAUAGGGGUAGAUGAUGUGGUACAACAAGGGCUACAGCAGUUAACACGUAUUUCAUAGUCAAAACAUUUAUAAGGGCGGACAUUCUGUUGUUCUUUCUUACACACCAAUCCAUAUGAAACAUUGCACUGGGCAACUUGAUUUGAAUAAUUAAUAUACUCGUCAAAGCUCAUGUCAGGUUCGCCCACAGCCCUACAUUCGAUAUCUACUGGCUGUUCACAGAUCUCUUUUCCACUUUCUCUAAUGUUUUCAUAAGUCUCCAAGUCAUGCCCUCCUACAUCAGGAUGAUAUUCAUUAAACCAGUCAGACCACCAACAUAUACAUAUACAUGGUGUAGGCGUAGUUGAUGUUGAAGUAAA